rnacentral:misc_RNA from 1 species
GAUUUUCAGCCGCCACUUUCAUUUCUCCCUGGUUGCUUCCUCCCACGCGCGGCAGCAGGCGCCCUUCUUCCUCCCUGGCUCCCACGGCAGCAAGCAGCAAGCAGGGAGCAAGGCCAGCCCCCAUGGCGCCCUUCCUCCUCGGCUCAAAUGGUGCGGCCGAGCAGCAGCCCCCCAGCUCUCCUCUCUCCAUGGCGCAGGGAGCUUUCCCUCUUCUCCGCGGCGUCCGGCAGCAGGGAACCUUUCUCCCCUGCGUGCAGGGACUUCUCCAUGGCCGGCGAGCAGCCCAACAGCCGAGCUCCU